rnacentral:misc_RNA from 1 species
CUCUAGACUACUACUUACACUUCUCAUGUAUCUAUCUGUUAUAAUUAUAUACAGUGUAAUCGUUUAAUGUCGUCCUGAAACAGAAACCAUUCCAGGCCUGUUUGAGGAAAGAAGGAGAUGGGAUUCAGUCUCACACAGUGCCCCUCUUAGCAAUAAACAAUUGAUUAAGAAUCUCUGCAUAAAGGGGUUGGGGAGAAAUAGCGUGAUUUUGGAGAUAGAGUUUUGAAGAGGGAUGGGAUAAUAUCGAUACAUUACUUGGAAGUGUGUCGAGACUUGACUGUAAAAUUGGUGGAUUUUGUUUUUGUACAUUUUAACAUGUCUUCAUAAAUAUAAAUUUCAUGAAACAAUUAACAUUUUAAUGUAUAGUUGUUGUGAAGAGCUUUUUUUUUGUUAUACCAACAGUUUUUAUCACUUUAUUGAUUUGCAACUUUCUUAACUUUUUAAGAUGAUUUUAUGGUUGUGAUUGUUUUAUUUAUGAAAUAUCAAAUUGAAUAUAAAACAUUCAUUCUUGUAAUGGGAGUUAAGGGUGAUUUCAUUUUAAGUAAAGGCUUUUAUCAAAGAAAAUUAAAUCAUGAAAAAUGUAUCAAAUCUAGUAUUGAAAACCAAAGACACACAAAGCUGAUUUCUCAGUAUAUUACAACUACCAGUAUAUGUAUAUUGCUAUUCAUUAUGUAAUAAGCUUGCUUUGGUAUACUUUGUAUAUGAACCAAAUAUUCGAGUUUAACUGAUGUUAUAGUCUCUUUCUUUUAGUAUUUACUGCUGCUAUGGUCACUUUGCUUAUUUGUGAACUCUCGGAGGUAUUUUGUAGAGAAUUACUUUCUCUGGAAACAUUUUCAGUUGUUUUCUUAAACUUCCCUAGAAAUUAUCUCCAUACUAUGUGGAAGAGAUUAUGAUUAUCAUAUUUCAAAAUUUUAUGUGAGUGUACAAGCUUACUUUUUUUUCAAAACUGGAAAUUUUCUUCUAUCUUGCCUAUUCUUGUCUUUAAAGAGUUUCCAUUUCUGUACCUAUUGCAAGAAAGUUGUCUAUUUUGUAACUUUCUGGCCAGUAGCUUGUGAUGUGAUUUCAUGUAAUAUUUAAUACUGUGACUUGUUCAUUUUAUAAAUAAAAGUGUACACUCAU